UACGGGGGGGGCAAGCGUUGUUCGGAAUUACUGGGCGUAAAGGGCGCGUAGGCGGCCGCCUAAGUCAGACGUGAAAUCCCUCGGCUCAACCGGGGAACUGCGUCUGAUACUGGGUGGCUUGAAUCCGGGAGAGGGAUGCGGAAUUCCAGGUGUAGCGGUGAAAUGCGUAGAUAUCUGGAGGAACACCGGUGGCGAAGGCGGCAUCCUGGACCGGCAUUGACGCUGAGGCGCGAAAGCCAGGGGAGCAAACGGG
rnacentral:rRNA from 1 species